rnacentral:rRNA from 1 species
UGGGGAAUAUUGCACAAUGGGGGGAACCCUGAUGCAGCCAUGCCGCGUGAAUGAAGAAGGCCUUCGGGUUGUAAAGUUCUUUCGGUGACGAGGAAGGUUGGUAGGUUAAUAGCCUAUCAAAUUGACGUUAAUCACAGAAGAAGCACCGGCUAACUCCGUGCCAGCAGCCGCGGUAAUACGGGGGGUGCGAGCGUUAAUCGGAAUAACUGGGCGUAAAGGGCACGCAGGCGGUGACUUAAGUGAGAUGUGAAAGCCCCGAGCUUAACUUGGGAAUUGCAUUUCAUACUGGGUCGCUAGAGUACUUUAGGGAGGGGUAGAAUUCCACGUGUAGCGGUGAAAUGCGUAGAGAUGUGGAGGAAUACCGAAGGCGAAGGCAGCCCCUUGGGAAUGUACUGACGCUCAUGUGCGAAAGCGUGGGUAGCAAACAGGAUUAGAUACCCUGGUAGUCCACGCCCUAAACGAUGUCAAUUAGCUGUUGGGCAACUUGAUUGUUCAGUAGCGUAGCUAACGCGUGAAAUUGACCGCCUGGGGAGUACGGUCGCAAGAUUA